rnacentral:lncRNA from 1 species
UUAGGCCUCUUUUAUCUCCUCUUCCACACCAGUUGAGCUGUUUGGCCACUGGACCAAACACUUUGGAGGCUACACGCCAAAUGGUUUUUUUCAGAGUUUGUCCUCCUCUGAUGGAUAACCUCUUCAUCUUAAAAAUAAAAGGAAAGGUGUCAUCCUCAGUGUCCACCACCAUUUGACCACUUGACCGAGGGGCAAGGGACUAGACCACUGAAGUUAGAUGGGUAAUCUUCAAGUCCAGCUCAUUAAGCUUCUCCAAAAUUGCCCUCUCCACAGCUGCAACACACUCGAUGGGUGGUCCCCCCAAGCAUCUUCUUGCUCAUUUACAUGGGACAUGCUUAUUGGAAAAACUGGUGCUGAGAAAGGUCAAGUUAGUUGGGGUUUAUCCCAAGUGUCUUGGUGCUCCACUUCCUGGCAGAACCUCACAGCAGGCAUUUCAGAUUCCGAGAUGUCAGAUGUGUAGCAUGCCUGUU